UGGGGAAUAUUGGACAAUGGGCGAAAGCCUGAUCCAGCCAUGCCGCGUGUGUGAAGAAGGUCUUCGGAUUGUAAAGCACUUUAAGUUGGGAGGAAGGGCAGUAAGCGAAUACCUUGCUGUUUUGACGUUACCGACAGAAUAAGCACCGGCUAACUCUGUGCCAGCAGCCGCGGUAAUACAGAGGGUGCAAGCGUUAAUCGGAAUUACUGGGCGUAAAGCGCGCGUAGGUGGUUCGUUAAGUUGAAUGUGAAAGCCCCGGGCUCAACCUGGGAACUGCAUCCAAAACUGGCGAGCUAGAGUAGGGCAGAGAGUGGUGGAAUUUCCUGUGUAGCGGUGAAAUGCGUAGAUAUAGGAAGGAACACCAGUGGCGAAGGCGACCACCUGGGCUCAUACUGACACUGAGGUGCGAAAGAGUGGGGAGCAAACAGG
rnacentral:rRNA from 1 species